CGCGCGGCUGGUGCGUGGUUUAGGUAGUUUCAUGUUGUUGGGAUUGGCUUC
rnacentral:miRNA from 1 species